rfam:Gossypium arboreum cultivar AKA8401 contig_5585_1, whole genome shotgun sequence.
UAUUAAAAAUUUCAUCCAUUUCUACUACUAAAAAAAUGGCGUGGUUGACAGAAUAAUUAGACAAUUACACUUGGCAUAUUUCAAUACAGAUGUACUGGGCUAAUUUUUAACAAUAGAAAUGAAUGGAGUUUUUAAUG